rnacentral:rRNA from 1 species
AGCGAACGCUGGCGGCAGGCCUAACACAUGCAAGUCGAACGAACCUUUCGGGGUUAGUGGCGGACGGGUGAGUAACACGUGGGAACGUGCCUUUAGGUUCGGAAUAACUCAGGGAAACUCGUGCUAAUACCGAAUGUGCCCUCCGGGGGAAAGUUUUAUCGCCGUUAGAGCGGCCCGCGUCUGAUUAGCUAGUUGGUUGCGGUAAUGGCUCACCAAGGCGACGAUCAGUAGCUGGUCUGAGAGGAUGAGCAGCCACAUUGGGACUGAGACACGGCCCAAACUCCUACGGGAGGCAGCAGUGGGUGAUCUUGCGCAAUGGGCGAAAGCCUGACGCAGCCAUGCCGCGUGAAUGAUGAAGGUCUUAGGAUUGUAAAAUUCUUUCACCGGGGACGAUAAUGACGUUACCCGGAGAAGAAGCCCCGGCUAACUUCGUG